CAGAGUUCUGAAAAGUGCCUGCGCACUUGGGCUUGCCCAGUGUCGUGGCUGGGAGGGGAACUUCCUCCAGAGCCUGCUUCCCUUCACCCUGACAGUCAAGCACAUCUCUGUUCCCAGCUGCUCCGAGCGCCUGUAGCUUGGGGGAGGCCUCCCCAAGUAAGCGUUUUUCAACCUGAGACCCUAAAGAUGAACAGGAAUUGUGGAGAGAGAGCAGGAGGGAAUCUCAGAUAAAGGGAUUGACAAAACGCAAAGGCUCUGACGUGCAAAGAAAUUUGACGCCUGGCUUGCCCACCUCUCACUCCCUGUAGGAGUACAGAUGAUGGAGCUCAUGAAGAAGUUGCCAAGGACUGACCACAAACAUUGGGUGACAGGCAGGACUGGCUCUAGCUCGGCCCACUGAGCUCCCAUCUCUGAGAGGAGUAAGGCCAAAGGAAGCUAAGGCCCGGAGACUCAAGAAAAGAUGAGGAAAAUGGAUGAUAUGCAGGCAACCCCACAUUUCGUACAUACCGGGAGCCACAAAUGCAAGGAUCUAUGGGAACCGCUAAUGAGUCACAGAUCUGCAUCUACAGAGAGGGCAAAGGACGGAAAUGGAUGUCCCAUGCCGCUGGUGGGAAUGAAAAUGAAGUUGCGAGUGCGUACUCUGUCCAGGGUCCAGCUUUAGAAGUUCCUGUAACAGCCAUCUCUAGACACGGAGACUUAAUAUCCUCCUGGAAUGAUAUUUCUUACACAAGUCCGUCAUUUGAAAGGGAUAUUUCAAGAGGUCAGUCGUUAUGCAUCCCUUGUAUCUCCAUUUCCCACCUUUUUGUUCCAGCAUCUCAGGCUGUGGUCCCCGGAUUCUCCUGGCGGUUAUUAAAUUCAGACACCACAAAUCCACGUGAAGACCAAAAUCUGUCUUAGAUAAACAGAGCUUCAUCCACAUGAUAUUUUAUAACGGAGUGAUCCCAAAAGAGAAUCAGUGACAAAGACAAAAGAGGAUCAGAGAGACCAAGCGGAAGUGAGAGCUCAUUGACCUUAAGUAGAGCAAUGGAAGAAACAGCGGAAGGAAGGAGUUUCAGGGAGGCAGAGACGACGCUGCUGGGGACACUGUGAGUGUGGGCGGGCCAGGGGCCGGUGCCCUGUGUGUAUCCACAGAAAGGGGCACCGUGGGGACAGCCAGGACGAAGUCCCACAGCAAAUACCCACCUGCGAGGAGAACCUGCAGAGACACCUCACGAAGCAGAGAGCACUGAAGGCACAUUGCAGGAGGCAGAUGCGAGCCUGGAAGUGAGUGUGACCUUCACAGCGUGGGAAAGAGGCCCAUUUUGUCAUUUAUGC